rnacentral:lncRNA from 1 species
UAGAGUUGUUAGAUUUUGAUGGAUCUUUCAUACGUGGUGUUGUGAGAUCAUGGGGGAUGCUGGAGGUGUUGUGGUCUUCUUUGGCCAAAUGGAUGUUGAGCUGUAAGGCCUUUCACUUUUGGUGUUUCUGGUUCCUUGUUCAUGCAAAAUCAAUCAUUCUCAUGGUCUCUAUGUCGCACUGGUGCUAUACAGAGUCUUCUUGAUC